ACAGGAGGUCUGUUGGGGGGUGCCAGCUCAGCUUUAGGCAAGUAUAGUAUGGCAAAUAUUGCUUACUUAGGUAACUGCAAGGAGGGGUCACAGAAUGACCAGCGCAAUCACUGCCAGAACACAUGAAACAUGUUGAAAUAGCUUGCUGAU